AUGAAAACGCUGAUAUCGGAUACACGUGACAAUGUCUCAACUUUUACACAUUAUUCUCCUUGGAUUGUGUGCAUUUCACACGGUAUUUACACUGAACUGCACUCCUGUUUUUCUUUUCUGUAAACUUUAAUGUAUACAUCGUUUUUGAUAUUUUCGGAGAUACGAGGCAACGUUGAUAUUUGAGUAUAAAUCAUAUUAUAUAGUGACGUAAAAUACGAUUAACCUAAAAUUUAUAUAGAGCUCGGAUGUUGAACGGUUUUCGCCUUUUGUUUUCUAUCGAUCCAGAGCGCCUGAAACUGCGAGU